rnacentral:rRNA from 1 species
GACGAACGCUGCCGGCGUGCUUAACACAUGCAAGUCGAACGGUAAGGCCCUUCGGGGUACACGAGUGGCGAACGGGGGACAAACACGUGGGUGAUCUGCCCUGCACUUCGGGAUAAGCCGGGGACACUGGGGCUAAUACCGGAUAGGACUCCUGGCUUCAUGGUUGGGGGUGGCAUGCUUUUGCGGUGUGGGAUGGGGCCGCGGCCUGUCAGCGUGUUGGUGGGGUGGUGGCCUACCAAGGCGACGACGGGUAGCCGGCCUGAGAGGGUGACCGGCCACACUGGGACUGAGAUACGGCCCAGAAGCCUACGGGAGGCAGCAGUGGGGAAUAUUGCACAAUGGGCGCAAGCCUGAUGCAGCGACGCCGCGUGAGGGAUGACGGCCUUCGGGUUGUAAACCGCUUUCAGCACCGACGAAGCGCAAGUGACGGUAGGUGCAGAAGAAGGACCGGCCAACUACGUGCCAGCCGCCGCGGUAA